AUUUUGAACUGAGUUUCACUCCCUUACUCUCUUCGUUGCUCUUUCGAGUUCGUGGAGGUUUAGAGUCGGUGGUGGAAGUCAGUUUCUCGCUCGUUGCCGUCCCCGUCGCUGCAUCGGAAAAGGUAAUGUCAUCGUCUUAUUAUUUCUCCUUCAAUGUAGCGUUCUUCUGAUUUACGGGAAUAAUCAUAGAUAGUCUUUGAUGAAGUCUCUUUGGGUGAUUAGGGUGCCAAUCUUUUGGGGUCUGUUGGUUCUAUAGAGUACUUUAGGACUAGUUAAAUCCUUACCUCAUUUUUCGCCUUGAAUAGUUCGAUAUUUAUUUGAUUUUCGGUUUGAGAAUGCUAGUUGUGUAGUCAUGUUCCUUCACUGUUUCGUUUUAUUCAAAAUAGUUUUAUGCUCAUUAUUUUGAGUGCAUUAGCGGUACAGUUCUACUCCUCCACUGUUCAUUUAUGCUCUUGGUUGUCUUCGCUAUCAUUCGGAACUUCCAUAUGCUUGCCUAAUUUUGUAGAAUCUAUCUCUGUUCUUGCACUGGAAUGUCUUCUUUGUCUUGUGUAUUUCAGCUAGCAGUUAUAUUGGUAGUCCACCAUAAUCUUGUUUAGACUUGGCUCCCUUGUUUAUUGUUAAUUCGCCUCCGAAAUGUGUCUUUUUCCUUUAUACGUUGGGCUGCUUUGAUUUUCGAAAUGAGGUUUUUAAAAAAAAAUAAUAAUAAUCUGUUUCUUGCCCUUUUCUUUCCAAGCAUAUCAUCUGUUUCUUGUCUCAUUUGGCUGCUAAUUUGAUUAAGAAAACUCCUAAGUAGCAUGCUCAAUAACAUAAAAACAGCUUUCAUCACUGCUUGCCCACUCUUUACCUAGAAUUUGAUCCCUCCGUAAGUGAUUAAUUUCGUUUGUUGCGUUAGAAUGUCAAGGUGAUAGUGUCUUAGAAACAUUGUGAAUGAUUACUUGUUCUGCAUUGCUAGUUUCCUUGUAGGAAUUGAGUCAAUAAUUAAAAGUGGUUAUUUAGAGUUAGAGUUUGACAAACAUUCAAUUGGUAGGUUCAUACUCAAAUCUGCUUAUUUUGAAUGCAUGCUCAUGUAUGGAAAAUGUGUUAAAAGUCUAUUGUAUUAUUUUGAUUUUGCUUGCUGCCAUCUCUUGUCAAAUUCCAAGGAUAGAAAUGUUUAGUCCUUUUUAGUGAUGAAUUGAGAAACGUGUCUCUGCAUGUUUUCCUUCAAAAGGACUAUUUGUCAAUUUGCACUUUCUUAGGCUAUACGCAUAUUAUUAGUUUAUCUCUUUUGGGAUUCAUUCAUCCGCCUUGUGCUCCUUGUCUUUUAUUUUGGUUAAACUUGUCCGUCGGUUUUGUUCUUUAAAUAAAUUUCCGUAAAAAUUAUUCUUGAAUUUAGUUCAUUUUAAUCUAUGGUUGUACGUUUACUACUAUCUAUGGGAUAUAAAUAUAUGUAUGUGAAACAUUUGUUUUCUCUAUGCUUUACUUAUUAAUUAUGUCAAUAUGCAGACCCAUAUGAAUGCAGCACCUCAAUCUUCUAACAUUAUAAUAAUAACAUUAAUUCAUGCCUAACAAUUACACUUCCAACCCAUUUCCAAUUUUAACACAUCAUUAUUCAGUGGUCAACAAUGUUUGUCCCAAUUUGCCAUCAGCUUUCACGUGGAAGCAAUUAUUAUACAUAUGUCCUUCAAAUUUCAUUUUAUAAUAUAAUAAUAUAUAUUUCUAUCAACUAUCAAUAUAUACAAUACAAUAGUAGAGCUUACCGAAUUUUAUAAACCUUUUUGUUUUAUUUUUUAUUUUUAUUUUUUUGUUUUUUGUUUUGUUCUCACUGUGAUGAUUAGGCGGUAGUGAUCAUUACUCUCCUUUAGUUUCUUUAAUUAAGUCAUGUGGGUCAUUACUCAUAAGUUUACUUGUUUUUGUUGCAUGUGAAAUCCGUCUAUGUCCUCAUGGACUCCCAUCUCCUUCUUGCAUUUCCUAUGGGGCCUUGGAGGCCCAAUCCCCUUUUAUUGAGUCGAUCAACCUUCAAAAUGGAAGAACAUAUCCUUGACGUGGGCAUACAGGGGUUUGGAGCUGAUACAGGAUUGUAUGCACUAGUACACGCCUAGUGUAUACGAAGAUGGGAAAAUGGGCCUAAAGGCCCCAAAAUUCAAAAUUUGUAUUUUGUUUUUGGGCCUAAGCCUUUAUCAUUUUGUUAUUAUCUGUUAGAAUUUAGGACAGGUGGAAGAUGGGCCUAAAACCCAAAGAAAUAAACUUCAAAAUCUAGUCUAGGACAGGUACUAAGGCGGCAAAAAAUUGGGCCAAAAGCCCAAAACGAAAAUGGGCCCAAGUGUUGGUCCAGACGGACAGAAAACCAAACUUGGGCCCGAGUCUCUUUCCCUCUCUAAUUUAUUGUGCUUAUUUACUUGUUAAUAUUUGUUGUUUAAUCUUAAAGUCGAAAAAAUUCAAAUCCCCGAAAGACGCCUAUUUUGAUUUAAUAAUUUAACUAAAUCAGUCAUCU
rnacentral:lncRNA from 1 species